CAGCCGCCGCGGGAAUACAGAGGGUGCGAGCGUUAAUCGGAUUUACUGGGCGUAAAGCGUGCGUAGGCGGCUUUUUAAGUCGGAUGUGAAAUCCCUGAGCUUAACUUAGGAAUUGCAUUCGAUACUGGGAAGCUAGAGUAUGGGAGAGGAUGGUAGAAUUCCAGGUGUAGCGGUGAAAUGCGUAGAGAUCUGGAGGAAUACCGAUGGCGAAGGCAGCCAUCUGGUCUAAUACUGACGCUGAGGUACGAAAGCAUGGGGAGCAAACAGGAUUAGAUACCCCCGUAGUCCCUGUCUCUACACU
rnacentral:rRNA from 1 species